AAAACUUGACAUUGAUGUAAUCCGACAUGUGAAUGACUAAUUUCUAUGGCAGAAGCGUGUUUAAAUUUUUAACCUGGUUUCAUUUCAUCUAUGAGCUUUGUUGGGAAUUUCAUAACCUAAAUGCUCACAAAAUUUCAGCAUCAUUUACCUUCUCUAACUCGAGUUGUGAGCAAAACAUCACACCUCGGCCUGCUGAAAAACAGCCAGGACAAAGAUGCAAA
rnacentral:lncRNA from 1 species